rnacentral:rRNA from 1 species
GACGAACGCUGGCGGCGUGCUUAACACAUGCAAGUCGAACGGUGAAGCGCCUUCCUUUUUGGUGGGUGUGGAUGAGUGGCGAACGGGUGAGUAACACGUGAGUAACCUGCCCCCUUCUUCUGGAUAACCGCAUGAAAGUGUGGCUAAUACGGGAUAUUCUGGGUCUGUCGCAUGAUGGGUCUGGGAAAGAUAUUGUUUCGGUGGGGGAUGGGCUCGCGGCCUAUCAGCUUGUUGGUGGGGUGAUGGCCUACCAAGGCGGUGACGGGUAGCCGGCCUGAGAGGGUGGACGGUCACACUGGGAAUGAGACACGGCGCAGACUCAUACGGGAGGCAGCAGUGGGGAAUAUUGCACAAUGGGCGCAAGCCUGAUGCAGCGAAGCCGCGUGAGGGAUGGAGGCCUUCGGGUUGUGAACCUCUUUCGCCAGUGAAGCAGGCCUGCCUCGUUUGUGGGUGGGUUGACGGUAGCUGGAUAAGAAGCGCCGGCUAACUACGUG